AUGCUUAGAGCAGCGGCACGGUGACAGAUAGCGGGAUUAUUCUCACUUCAAGUCCUUCAAGUGGAAUUACACCUCUACCAGGGCCGCCAAUAUAACCGAACAAAGAAAUGCAUGCAUAACGCAGAGCUGAUUGGCACCUCAUCGCUUGGUUUGCUUCUCGCUUUCGUUCAUUUCCGAUCGAGCAGCAGAGAGAAGCACUACUGGCUCCUGACGCUCUCCAACCGUUCUCUUCAAGACGACGCUACAAUGCACGUGGGACGCUUUGAUAUUUCGAGGUUAAAGCUGGAUGCACUUGUGAAACAGAGACUUUCUACAAAUUACGUGAAAAUGGACUGAAACUGAAACUACUCAUGGAGCUAAAUUGAUACAUUCUUCGCCAAUAACGUGAUCAUGAGGUGAAACUGAAGCUACUGAUGGCGAUACAUUUAUGUUUCGAAUUAUCACCCUGAAGCCCCGAGCCCAGCGCUACUGGCCAUUUUACCACCAAAAGUUUGUUGAUAUUCAAUCCAAGAAGUCGAUGAACUCUAAUGGACUCCAAUAAAAUUCAAACGAUGCCGGUAGUACCCUCGGCUAUUCACGAGGAGAUACAUGUUGAAGAGCUGACAAUGGCUACAGACAGCAGAUCACACCGAAGGGAAAUUCCAUCAAUUCGGAAGUUACGACGAAAAUAAGCAGGAUAAUAAAUAUUACAUUGUGGGAGACAGCUACCAACAGACGUCAACGUAAAGUACUUCAAGAAUUGAUUGAUUAACAAUCCCAACUAAAUUUGUAGAAAUCUUUGGUGAAUGCAUUUUUUAAAUAAUUGAAAACCAUAA